GCUGGCGGCAGCCCUUACACAUGCAAGUCGAGCGAGAAAGUUUCUUCGGAAGCGAGUAAAGCGGCGGACGGGUGAGUAACGCGUAGGAAUCUACCAUUCAGUGGGGGAUAGCUCGGGGAAACCCGAAUUAAUACCGCAUAUACCCUAAGGGGGAAAGAGGGCCUAUCCUUGGAAGCUCUUGCUGUUUGAUGAGCCUGCGUGAGAUUAGUUUGUUGGUGAGGUAAUGGCUCACCAAGACUACGAUCUCUAGCUGGUCUGAGAGGACGAUCAGCCACACUGGGACUGAGACACGGCCCAGACUCCUACGGGAGGCAGCAGUGGGGAAUAUUGGACAAUGGGGGCAACCCUGAUCCAGGCAUGCCGCGUGUGUGAAGAAGGCCUUCGGGUUGUAAAGCACUUUAGGUAAGGAAGAAAAGUUAUUGGUUAACACCCAAUGACCGUGACAUUACUUACAGAAUAAGGACCGGCUAACUCCGUGCCAGCAGCCGCGGUAAUACGGAGGGUCCAAGCGUUAAUCGGAAUUACUGGGCGUAAAGCGCGCGUAGGCGGUUUGACAAGUUGGGUGUGAAAUCCCCGGGCUUAACCUGGGAACUGCAUUCAAAACUUUUAAACUGGAGUACGGGAGAGGAGAGUAGAAUUCAUGGUGUAGCGGUGAAAUGCGUAGAUAUCAUGAGGAAUACCAAUGGCGAAGGCAACUCUCUGGACCGUAACUGACGCUGAGGUGCGAAAGCGUGGGUAGCAAACAGGAUUAGAUACCCUGGUAGUCCACGCCGUAAACGAUGACAACUAGCCGUUGGACUUUCGGGUUCAGUGGCACAGCUAACGCAUUAAGUUGUCCGCCUGGGGAG
rnacentral:rRNA from 1 species